rnacentral:rRNA from 1 species
UGGGGAAUUUUGGACAAUGGGGGAAACCCUGAUCCAGCCAUCCCGCGUGUGCGAUGAAGGCCUUCGGGUUGUAAAGCACUUUUGGCAGGAAAGAAACGUCGCGGGUUAAUACCCCGCGAAACUGACGGUACCUGCAGAAUAAGCACCGGCUAACUACGUGCCAGCAGCCGCGGUAAUACGUAGGGUGCAAGCGUUAAUCGGAAUUACUGGGGCGUAAAGCGUGCGCAGGCGGUUCGGAAAGAAAGAUGUGAAAUCCCAGAGCUUAACUUUGGAACUGCAUUUUUAACUACCGGGCUAGAGUGUGUCAGAGGGAGGUGGAAUUCCGCGUGUAGCAGUGAAAUGCGUAGAUAUGCGGAGGAACACCGAUGGCGAAGGCAGCCUCCUGGGAUAACACUGACGCUCAUGCACGAAAGCGUGGGGAGCAAACAGGAUUAGAUACCCUGGUAGUCCACGCCCUAAACGAUGUCAACUAGCUGUUGGGGCCUUCGGGCCUUGGUAGCGCAGCUAACGCGUGAAGUUGACCG